rnacentral:lncRNA from 1 species
UGGGCAGGGUCUGGGGGCCGAGGGAGGUGGGAGGGAAAUCGGGUUGAGUUCCAGAUUCCCAGCUGGCACUUGUGGGCAGACAGUGGUGCUGCUUACUGAGUUGGGGGGUUGGGGAGACUUGGGGAGGAGCAGGGUGGAGAAAGGUGGGGCCUGCCUGGAUUUAGGUGCCAGACAAAGGGAAGAGAAGCAUGAGAGUGCUGGCUCAGAGGACAAGAAGUAUCCAGAAGAAAGAUGCACAGGAAGGUCACGUGAGAGAAAGGCCAUAUAACACUUAUCCGAAGUGGCCACUAGAAGCUCAGCUGGUCAGGGGGGUGCUGAAGGCAGAGGGCAGUGGUCAGGAGUGAAGUGAGGGUGCGAACUGAGUGUGGGGAGUGUGUAGGGACCCCCAUCUGUCAGGCGGCAGCUCAGGGCUUAGGGCAGGCUACUGGGCAAGGCCAGGGACCCCCAGAACAGAGGAGUUCCUGCCAUGGAUGGUGUUUUACAGCCUUGUCACUCCCCAUGCACUCUAAUCGCGCAUAUUGAGCACUUGGUGUGGGCUGGUCACCGUGCUGGACACUGGGGACAAAGUGUGGUAAGAUGCAGUCCCAAAGGGGCUAACAGUCCUGUGGGCUCUUGCUCAAAGGCUUGUAACCCAGGGUUAAGCUCCCAGCAGCUUGGAAGGCAGGUGUAGGCACCUCCAUUUGCCCUGAGUACAAACAGAGGUUCAGAGAGGUUUAGUGACAGGACGAAGCUCAUACGGCCAGGAAGUGGCUGUGUCCAGGACAGUUCCAGGCCCCCGACCCCAAGCCCCACCCUGGCCAGCAGGUUCAGUUUCAGCCAGGUGGCCUUUAGGGUUGGCCACCCUGUUCCUCUCAGCAAGAACAGUACAAGCUGAAGGCAAGCAAGCGCUCCUUCUUCUGAGCAUCCUGCGUGCCCAACCCUGUGGUGGGAGAGUUGAUGUCCCAGGAGAGGGACGUCUCCUGUUCUCUUGCUGCCCAGGAGAGGGCAGAAGCAAACCCUUCUGAGAGGGGAGACAGGGAGACAGGGAGAGGUAAGCAGGGAUGACUCCUCCUCUCCCCAAAGAGGCCACUCAGGGAGCCCUGGGAAGCCAGGCCAAAGGCGGUGCAAUAAAGGGGCCUCUGAGACUCUUCCCCAUGGCUGUGGUCCUGGCUCUGGGAUCUCAGGGUGCAGUCACCAUCCCCACCCAGCAGUGGGAAGGCCCAGGUGGGUGGAGCUGGCCUGGAGCCCGCCCCUGCUGCUGGGGCAUUGGCCGCUGGGAGGGAAGUUCCAGCCGGUCUGCUGCACCUUCUUAUACAAGCAACCCUGGAGGCUCCGCACCUGAGCAGGCAGCCCCGACUGGAAGGAGCGGGGGCCCUCAUUUCUCCUCCUCCACUGGUCACCUCUUUAGUCCCUGGCUCCCUUCAGCCCCCAGGGGCCUGAGAUGGGACCCACCUGCCCCCUCACUUCCUUCCCAGGCCUCAGUAGUUGACCUCACUCUAGACCUAUUUUUUAAUGUUUAUUUUAUUUUAAUAGUUGUGGGGAGCAGGUGGUGUUUGUUCUUUAGUGGCAAUUUCUGAGAUUUUGGUGCAGCCAUCACCCGAGUGGUGUGCACUGUACCCAAUGUGUAGUCUCUUGUCCCUCACCCCCCUCCCACCCUUCCCCCACUCCCAAGUCCCCAAAGUCCAUUAUAUCAUUCUUAGGCCUUUGCCUCCUCAUAGCUUA